rnacentral:rRNA from 1 species
GUGGGGGAUAUUGCACAAUGGGGGAAACCCUGAUGCAGCGACGCCGCGUGAAGGAAGACGUACUUCGGUAUGUAAACUUCUAUCAGCAGGGAAGAAGAUGACGGUACCUGACUAAGAAGCCCCGGCUAACUACGUGCCAGCAGCCGCGGUAAUACGUAGGGGGCAAGCGUUAUCCGGAUUUACUGGGUGUAAAGGGAGCGUAGACGGUGAAGCAAGUCUGAUGUGAAAACCCGGGGCUCAACUCCGGGAUUGCAUUGGAAACUGUUUUACUUGAGUGCUGGAGGGGCAAGCGGAAUUCCUGGUGUAGCGGUGAAAUGCGUAGAUAUCAGGAAGAACACCGGUGGCGAAGGCGGCUUGCUGGACAGUAACUGACGCUGAGGCGCGAAAGCGUGGGGAGCAAACAGGAUUAGAUACCCGUGUAGUCC